rnacentral:rRNA from 1 species
UACGUAGGGUGCGAGCGUUGUCCGGAAUUAUUGGGCGUAGAGGGCUCGUAGGCGGUUUGUCGCGUCGGGAGUGAAAUCCACUGGCUUAACUGGUGGCUUGCUUUCGAUACGGGCAGACUGGAGGUAUGCAGGGGAGAACGGAAUUCCUGGUGUAGCGGUGAAAUGCGCAGAUAUCAGGAGGAACACCGGUGGCGAAGGCGGGUCUCUGGGCCGAUACUGACGCUGAGGAGCGAAAGCGUGGGGAGCGAACAGG